UACGUAGGGGGCGAGCGUUGUCCGGAAUCAUUGGGCGUAAAGAGCGUGUAGGCGGCUUGGCAAGUCUGACGUGAAAGCCGCGGCUCAACCGCGGAUUGUCGUUGGAAACUGCCUCGCUAGAGUCCGGAAGAGGAGAGCGGAAUUCCUGGUGUAGCGGUGGAAUGCGCAGAUAAUCAGGAAGAACACCCGUGGCGAAGGCGGCGAUCUCUGG
rnacentral:rRNA from 1 species